rnacentral:rRNA from 1 species
GACGAACGCUGGCGGCGUGCUUAACACAUGCAAGUCGAGCGGAGCGGCGAACGGGUGAGUAACGCGUGAGUAACUGCCCCCCUCCCUGGGAUCACAGUUGGAAACGGCUGCUAAUACCGGAUAGUGGGGGAUGACUCGCGUCCUAUCAGCUUGUUGGGGGGGUAGUGGCCUACCAAGGCGAGGACUGGUAGCCGGCCUGAGAGGGCGACCGGCCAAAUUGGGCUGAGCUACGGCCCAAACUACUACGGGAGGCAGCAGUGGGGAAUAGUGCACAAUGGGGGAAACCCUGAUGCAGCAACGCCGCGGGCGGGAAGACGGGCUUCGGGUUGUAAACCGCUGUCAGCCAUGACGCGGUAGUGGCAGAAGAAGCACCGGCUAACUACGUGCCAGCAGCCGCGGUAAUAC